CGGAGGGUGCAAGCGUUAUCCGGAUUCACUGGGUUUAAAGGGUGUGUAGGCGGAUAUUUAAGUCAGUGGUGAAAUCUCCAGGCUCAACCUGGAAACUGCCAUUGAUACUAUUUAUCUUGAAUAUCGUUGAGGUAGGCGGAAUAUGUCAUGUAGCGGUGAAAUGCUUAGAGAUGACAUAGAACACCGAUUGCGAAGGCAGCUUACUAAACGAUUAUUGACGCUGAGGCACGAAAGCGUGGGGAUCAAACAGGAUUAGAUACCCUGGUAGUCCACGCCCUAAACGAUGAUUACUCGACAUACGCGAUACACAGUGUGUGUCUGAGCGAAAGCAUUAAGUAAUCCACCUGGGAAGUACGACCGCAAGGUUG
rnacentral:rRNA from 1 species